UUAGAACUGCUGUGAGACCUCCUUCUGGUUCAUCUCUCUUCUAUCCCUGUUUCUUCCUCCCAUCAAGAGCAAAAUGGCUUCCUCUGUUUAGUAGUGAUGAUGAGCAACCCUGAAGAGCAACAUCUUGAGGAAAUGACUUCUGUUGUUGGACCCAACUUCUAUACAAGCCGGUGUCUCUGUCGUCAGACAGCAGUGGGAGAUUGGUGAUAAGGACAUAAAGAACAAGGCACAGGCCUCUGUGGGUCUGUGCCUAAGGUGCUGACCCAAGAUCACUCAGACAAUUUUGGGCAGAGCAGAGAAGUGACCAUGCUGCAUUGCCAGGUCAUCUCUAUGUGCUGCUCUGAGACCAGAGUAUGGACCUGUGGAAGUCUUGCUUCCUGGCAGGACAUCUUCCUUCCUCCAUCUGGGGUCACAAGGCUAUUGUUUUGCAUAAAGGACUCUGCAGCCGGCAGGUAAGGGCUGCCCCAGAUGCUAAACCUUGUCUGGUUUAGUGCUGCAGCGUUUGUCUCUGGUUGCCUUAAGGUAAUCCUGUGUUCUGCUCCAGUGUUGCUAUCACAUCUCUUUGUGGCGGAAGUGCUUGUGGUGUCCUGAGUGCUGGACUGUGGCCUCAGAGGAUGAUGAAGGAAGAGGAGGAGGCUGGCUACAAAGGAGAAGCCUUGCUCUGUGCAGGGCCUGUAAAACCUUUGGCAAAUGCCACCACCAGGAAGAGCAUCAUGGGAGGAAGGGCACGGCUGUUUUAAUGAAUCUUAUGAAUGUGUUCUUUACCUAUGUGUGCAUUCAUUUUUCUAGUCUCAUAGAGUGCAGAACUAAACUUUGAACAAAAAUAGCUAUCUACUUACAUAACAUUCUUGCUUGUAAAGCUCCACUGCUGAAGCUCUCCAGAGGCUCCUGGAGCAGAGAACUGUCAAUCACAUCAAAGCCAUGACUCGGGUGCAUACGCACAUCUUGGUAACGUAAAGUCAAGAUUUGCAGUGUUUACAUAGGAUGCUCUGUACAAGGCGUGUGAUGGCAAACACAAAGCAGCAUCUGAGCUCUGCUGACACAAAGAUGAGGUAGGGCAUUGGCAACAGUGGAGAGAUGCACAUGGGGCAGGGCUUCCCCUUUCUUCCCCCUCUCCGUGGCUGCACAGGGGGUAGGAAGGAUGAAGGAAGGGUUUUCAUUCUAUGGGUUGCUGGUUUUCAUUUUGCUUAGGUCUUCCUGAACAGGAGGCAGUCCAAAUGCAGAGCCCGUGCUCUCUGUUGCCUUACGGUGGGAGCUGCUGGUCAUCUGAUACAGCUCAGUUUUA